UACGUAGGGUGCAAGCGUUGUCCGGAAUUAUUGGGCGUAAAGAGCUCGUAGGUGGCGGGUCACGUCGGGUGUGAAAGCCCCGGGCUCAACCUGGGAAUUGCAUUCGAGACUGAAUAGCUAGGGUACGGUAGAGGGAAGUGGAAUUUCCGGUGUAGCGGUGAAAUGCGUAGAUAUCGGAAGGAACAUCAGUGGCGAAAGCGACUUCCUGGACCAGUACCGACGUUCAGGCACGAAAGCGUGGGGAGCAAACAGG
rnacentral:rRNA from 1 species